rnacentral:lncRNA from 1 species
AGUAACGCAAGAUGACAAGCUGGUGAACAUAUAUAUUUUUUCCCUGUACAACUACUCUCCAUAAUGCAUAAUACAUAAUUCAAAUUCUAUAAGUACAACAACUUCAUUACAAAAUACAAGUUCAAUAAUACAUAAACUUGUAAUUCAAACUCCAUAAGUACUAAAACAACAAAUAUUCAAUUCAUACAUUGAGUUUUAAAGUGUUUGAUCCUUACAUACAUUCACUUCAUGAUCCUUACAACAAACACAACGAACAAAGCACAUGAAAUGAAAAUGAUAGUUUUCAAUUUUUUGAUUUUCUUCUCCAAAAGCAUAACUUUUCCAGCUUCUUGGGCUGAAAUAAAUUUCAUUUCUUCAAACAAAAUUUUCAGAUUGUCCCUUUCAGCUUUUUCCAUUCCAUCGACAAUCUGUUUCAAUUUGUUUCUUUCAACCUUCAUAACAUCCAAUUUAC